rnacentral:lncRNA from 1 species
UUGAGAAAACACCUAGACUUCAUUAAAACUAGAUGAAUGGUUGGAACAACAAUCCUAAAAAUUACUAUUGAAACAAAAUCACCAAAAAAAAAAAGUGACCAAAAGGCCCAUAUCUGUUGAACAAGGCCUAAAUUUGAAACUUUCAGAAGCUGUUCAUCAUAUUGUAAAGGCCCUGUUUGGCAAAUGAAUUUAUUACUAAAUUUUUUUCUUACAAAUUUUUUUAACAACUUUAAUUACAAUAAUCUUAAAAAACUCUCCAAAAUUUUUAAAAUACACACUUUACAAUAGCCAAAAAGACAAAAAUAAUUCAUUGUUUCUAUUUUUCUUUUUCCUCCUGCACCAUAACCCACAACAAUCUUAACCACCAGCUAAUGUCGACCAGCAACUUUGUCAUUGCCGACCACCAGUCAUCUUUUUUUUUUCUUUUCUUUCUCUCCUCACUCUCCCUCUCCACCUUCCUCCUUUCCUCCCUCUCCUCUCCCCUUCUCCCCACUCUUCCCUGCUACCCUCCCCUUCCCCCAAGCGUGAUUUGGUCGUGCAAAAACCAAGUCGUGCAUUAGGGAGAGGGAGAAAGUGGCGGGGAGAGAGGGAGAAGGGAGGGGAAGGGGAGAGGAAGGGAGGAGGGAUGAGAAGGGGGGAGGAAGAUAGAGAAGGGAAGGAGAGGAGAGGAGAGGGAGGGAGAGAGAGAGAAAAAAGGUGCUAGCGACGAUGAUUGGCAGUGGAGAGGGCGGAAGAAGAAGAUGAGGAGAAAAAAGAAAGAAAAAGAAAGUUUUUACAUACCUCAAAAUUUUUUUCUACAAAAUUUAAAGA